GCUUCCGGUUUCAAAAUGUUUUACCUUGAAAGAACAAACAGGAAGUUGUGUAGUGACGCACACUAACUUCACCAGGGCAGAGGCAGUGUGUGACGUGGCCGUGGGGGCGGGGCUUCGUGCUUUUGAGGACGUAGCGUUCAAUCGGGCUCUCCCAGUCCGUCAGCCGAGCAGGAUCCACCGCAGCGAGCCCGCAGAGCAGAAUCCCCUCCAUCAGACCCUCACAGACAGACCCAGGUUAAUCCCUGAAGAGGACCCGCACACAGACCCUCACAGACAGACCGAGGCUAGACCCUGAAGAGGACCCGAGGACAGGAUGGUGGCCAAACAGAGGAUCCGGAUGGCGAACGAGAAACACAGCAAGAACAUCACUCAGCGAGGAAACGUCAUCAAGUCAGCGAGGGCCCUGACUGAGGAUAAAGGUGUGGGUCCCUGGCUGCUCGCACUCUUCAUCUUCGUUGUCUGUGGAUCGGCCAUCUUUCAGAUCAUCCAGAGCAUCAGGAUGGGCAUGUAGAAUGAUGUCACCAGCCGGGGGCGGGGCUUGACUUCAUAGCCCCGCCCCUUCCUCCCUCUGAAGCCUCCUGAACAUUCCUGACGUGUGGCAGCUGACCGCAGACUCAGACCUGACCAAACCGACCCCCUUUGAACCUGGUCUAACGCCGUGUUGGUUCACAUGUUCCUAUGCGCUGACCUUCUCAGCGUCUGUAAACAAACACCACGUGCCUUUCUCUGUUUACCUGUGCUUAAGCCCCGCCCCCGCUGAUUACACCUUAUCAGUACUGCUGAGGGAGGGGUCCAAGUCCACGCUGUCCCUGUAAACUGACCCCGAGUAUAAUCCAGACCUACAUUACAUUCCCCCCCUCCUCUUCCUCAGUGUGAGAUGAUGAAGGUCUUUUGAAUCAGAAGGUUUGAGGUGCUGACAGGUGUGUGUGUGACAG